rnacentral:lncRNA from 1 species
CACUGCGUCCUUACGGGGGUUGCAAGGCGUCCGAAGUAUGAGUCCACUAACAAAAGUCCAGAAACUCGCCAGUUAAUAGUAUUGUGUCUCUUCAAAAUAUCGGAGAAUAAUUUCUUUCUCGCUGAUCGCCUAACUUCUACUGACGAAGCUUGGAAGUUGCAGAAGAUGGAGUUCGCUCUUGUUGCCCAGGCUGGAAUGCAAUGGCAUGACCUUGGCUCACUGCAACCUCUGCCUCCCCAGUUCAAGUGGUUCUCCUGCCUCAGCCUCCCGAGUAGCUGAGAUUACAGGUACUGGCUCCUGUAUCACCCAGCUCUGGAGUUGAAAGAGCUCUUCAUUCCUGAGUCUCCUGUACCACUGAGAAUAGGUAGUUUUCUCUCCUCUCCUCUCCUCUCCCCUCCCCUCCCCUCCCCUCCCCCCCUUUUCUUUUCUUUUUUCUUUUCUUUUUUUGAUGGAGUUUCACUACUGUUGCCCAGGCUGGAGUGCAGUGGCGCAAUCUCGGCUCUCUGCAACCUUCACCUCCCGUGUUCAAGUGAUUCUCCUGCCUCAGCCUCCUGAAUACCUGAGAUUACAAGCAUGCACCACCACGCCCGUCUAAUUUUGUAUUUUCACUAGAGACGGGGUUUCUCCAUGUUGGUCAGGCUGGUCUCGAACUCCCGACCUCAGGUGAUCCGCCCGCCUCAGCCUCCCAAAGUGCUGGGAUUACAGGCAUGAGCCACCGCGUCCAGCAAGAAUAGGUGAUUUUCAAACUUGGAAACAUUCAGAAGUUAUCGCCUCAGUUUCAGAUUGAGUAGUCUCAAAGAGAUUACAGACAUCUACCACAAAUUCUCUACUUGGUGUGGUGCAAAAUCAGUAUGAUGUAAACUUUGUCUCUCAGUUUCUUCAAAGGAAAGAAGCAACUGGAACACACAUAUAACACUAACCCUUCCAGCUGCAUUAUGAGGGACCAGUACCUGUCUCAAGGCAAAAUUAUGACUUAGUUCAUCCUCACCUCUGGAGGCCAGUAAAAGUGGGUUAUAGAAGAACAAAGAGGCAUCUAGAUCUUUCACUGGGUUAUUUGGAGAGAAACAUCUCCUACCGAAGGCCAGUUUAACAAGACUGGUAGAGGAGGUUAUCUUAUCUAAUUCACAGAAAUCAACACAUUGAGUCAAGAAAAAUGAAACACAGAAACACUCUAAAUAAAAGAAGAUAAGUCUUCAGAAACCAACCCUAAUGAAAUGAAGAUAUGUGAUUAACCUGACAGGAAAUUAAAAAGAGCAACCAUAAAGAGUCUCAUGGGAGCAAUGCAUGAACAAACUGAGAAUUUUCAUAAAGAAAUAAAAGAUAACAAAAAGUAUAAAGUUGAAGAAUACAAUAACUGGACUCAAAAAUUUAAUGUGUCCAACAGAAGAAUCGAUGAAGCAGAAGAAAGGGCUAUCAAACUUGUAGAUAGGCCAUUGGAAAUCAUGUAAUGUGAGGAGAAAAAAGAAAAAAGAUUGAAGAUAGUUUAAGAGACUUUUGAGACAUCCUCAAAGGGGAAUAAUU